UACGAAGGGGGCUAGCGUUGUUCGGAAUCACUGGGCGUAAAGGGCGCGUAGGCGGCCGAUCAAGUCGGGGGUGAAAGCCUGUGGCUUAACCACAGAAUGGCCUUCGAUACUGUUUGGCUUGAGACCGGAAGAGGUUAGUGGAACUGCGAGUGUAGAGGUGAAAUUCGUAGAUAUUCGCAAGAACACCAGUGGCGAAGGCGGCUGACUGGUCCGGUUCUGACGCUGAGUGCACGAAAGCGUGGGGAGCAAACAGG
rnacentral:rRNA from 1 species